CACGUAGGGGGCGAGCGUUGUCCGGAUUUAUUGGGCGUAAAGAGCUCGUAGGCGGUGUGUCGCGUCGGCCGUGAAAACCUGCAGCUUAACUGUGGGCUUGCGGUCGAUACGGGCAUCACUGGAGUUCGGCAGGGGAGACUGGAAUUCUUGGUGUAGCGGUGAAAUGCGUAGAUAUCAAGAGGAACACCUGCGGCGAAGGCGGGUUGCUGGGCCGACACUGACGCUGAGGCGCGAAAGCUAGGGGAGCGAACGGG
rnacentral:rRNA from 1 species